CCCGCUGAACUUAAGCAUAUCAAUAAGCGGAGGAAAAGAAACUAACAAGGAUUCCCCUAGUAACUGCGAGUGAAGCGGGAAAAGCUCAAAUUUAAAAUCUGGCGGUUCUUGCGUCCGAGUUGUAAUUUAGAGAAGUGCUAUCCGCGCUGGACCGUGUACAAGUCUCCUGGAAUGGAGCGUCAUAGAGGGUGAGAAUCCCGUCUUUGACACGGACUACCAGGGCUUAUGUGAUGUGCUCUCGAAGAGUCGAGUUGUUUGGGAAUGCAGCUCAAAAUGGGUGGUAAAUUCCAUCUAAAGCUAAAUAUUGGCGAGAGACCGAUAGCGAACAAGUACCGUGAGGGAAAGAUGAAAAGAACUUUGGAAAGAGAGUUAAACAGUACGUGAAAUUGUUGAAAGGGAAACGCUUGAAGUCAGUCGCGUCGUCCGGGGAUCAACCUUGCGAUUUUGCUAGGGCGCAUUUUCCGGUUGACGGGUCAACAUCAAUUUUGACCGUUGGAUAAAGGCUUUGGGAAUGUGGCAUCUUCGGAUGUGUUAUAGCCCGUGGUCGCAUACAACGGUUGGGAUUGAGGAACUCAGCACGCCGAAAGGCCGGGUUUUUAACCACGUUCGUGCUUAGGAUGUUGGCAUAAUGGCUUUAAUCGACCCGUCUUGAAACACGG
rnacentral:rRNA from 1 species